AGCGAGGUAUGGAGUUCUUACAAGGAAUUUAAUAGGUAGGAACUUCAUACCAUGCUCG
rnacentral:pre_miRNA from 1 species